CUUUAUCCCCACACCCUUUCCCUCUUUGAGUUUACUGAGAAGUCUGAAUGGCCGACUGUUGCCUGUUAAUCCCCACAGGAAUGUGGCUUCGGCUACGGGGAGGACGCGCAGUGCGUGCCAUGCCGGCUGCACAGGUUCAAGGAUGACUGGGGCUUCCAGAAGUGCAGGCCAUGUCUGGACUGUGCACUGCUCAAUCGCUUUCAGAAGGCCAACUGCUCUGUCACCAGCGAUGCUGUCUGCGGGGAUUGCUUGCCUGGAUUCUAUAGGAAGACAAAACUUGUUGGAUUUCAAGACAUGGAAUGUGUGCCUUGCGGGGACCCUCCUCCUCCCUACGAACCACACUGUGAGUGAACGCGUUACAAGUGGAGCACAAGGGGCAAUGGUCUUUAAAUUUUGUUUCAUUCUUUGACUUUUCUCCACUUGGCAAAUGGACCAAAACCUCUCUUUACCAUGGGCUCAUAGGGUGCGCUCUCUUGCAUCAAGCUUAGUCACGCGCCUCAGUCAACAGUGUCCACUGACUUGAACCCCAGAGUGGAAUGCAGACGUGUUGCUGCCGUUGUGUGCCAUUCAAUUUUUGUCCUUCGUUCUAGAUACCAAACUGGGGGGACUCCAGUUAACUGGGUGGUCCAGGUCCCCAUGCAUAACAUCUUUGCACCAUGGCCCCAUGAGUUGCUGGAUUUCCCUUUUGUAUGCCCCGAUUACAAUCACAUGGUGGUGUCUGCCUGUUCAAAAGUUAUCUGUGUGAAACCCCUGCCUUCCUUGACUGGAACCCGUGUUCAUACGUCCCUUCAUUUUUCUCACUUCACAAAUCAGUGAGCAAGGACUCAUUGCAUGCUGGGAAUACCACCCUAUCUGAGACAAUUUUGCCUUUCCUCCUUGUGCUGCCAUUAGUUCAUAUUUUUGGCUAGAUGUUUCCUUAGAGAUAAAAGGUAUGUGUUGUGAGUUCUCAACCGGCAUGCCCUUGGAACAGGAAGAGUGGCUGCUCUCCCUUCUCAGUGCUACGUG
rnacentral:lncRNA from 1 species